rnacentral:rRNA from 1 species
GACGAACGCUGGCGGCGUGCUUAACACAUGCAAGUCGAGCGGAAAGGCCCUUCGGGGUACUCGAGCUGCGAACGGGUGCGUAACACGUGAGUAAUCUGCCCUUGGCUUUGGGAUAACUACCGGAAACGGUGGCUAAUACCGGAUACGACAACCGUCUGCAUGGGCUGGUUGUGGAAAGUUUUUUCGGCCAGGGAUGUGCUCGCGGCCUAUCAGCUUGUUGGUGGGGUAAUGGCCUACCAAGGCUUCGACGGGUAGCCGGCCGGAGAGGGUGACCGGCCACAUGGGGACGGGGAUACGGCCCAGACGCGUACGGGAGGCAGCAGUGGGGAAGAGUGCACGAGGGGCGGAAGCGUGAUGCAGCAAAGCCGCGUGGGGGAUGACGGCCGGCGGGUGGUAAAGAGAUUGCGCCGGGGACGAAGCGUGAGUGACGGUAAGGGGUAAAGAAGCAACGGAUAACUACGUG